GGAGAGGUGGGUGAGUGGCUGAAACCAGCUCCCUGCUAAGGAGCCAUACGGGAAACUGUAUCGCGGGUUCGAAUCCCGCCCUCUCCG
rnacentral:tRNA from 2 species